GGCAAGAUGGCCGAGUGGUUAAGGCGGCAGGUUCAAGUUAUAACUAGCUUGCUUACUUAAAGUAAGAAUUUUUCUGCUGGAGCAAUCCGCGUGGGUUCGAGUCCCACUCUUGUCA